UAAAUUUUAGGGAAGAUAGACUUCCUCCCGGACAACACUGGGUUGACAAAUUAAUAGUAUUAGAUAUUGCAGGCCCACCUCCUGUAGAUUUAU
rnacentral:tRNA from 1 species